rnacentral:rRNA from 1 species
UAGGGAAUCUUCCGCAAUGGACGCAAGUCUGACGGAGCAACGCCGCGUGAUUGAAGAAGGAUUUCGGUUCGUAAAACUCUGUUGUUAGAGAAGAACAGCGCAUAGAGUAACUGUUAUGCGUGUGACGGUAUCUAACCAGAAAGCCACGGCUAACUACGUGCCAGCAGCCGCGGUAAUACGUAGGUGGCAAGCGUUGUCCGGAUUUAUUGGGCGUAAAGCGAGCGCAGGCGGUCAAUUAAGUCUGAUGUGAAAGCCCCCGGCUAAACCGGGGAGGGUCAUUGGAAACUGGUUGACUUGAGUGCAGAAGAGGAGAGUGGAAUUCCAUGUGUAGCGGUGAAAUGCGUAGAUAUAUGGAGGAACACCAGUGGCGAAGGCGACUCUCUGGUCUGUAACUGACGCUGAGGCUCGAAAGCGUGGGUAGCAAACAGG